UGGGGAAUAUUGCACAAUGGAGGGAACUCUGAUGCAGCGACGCCGCGUGAGUGAUGAAGGACUUCGUUUCGUAAAACUCUGUUCUAUGGGAAGAAAAGGACUGUACCAUAGGAGAAAGCUCCGGCUAAAUACGUGCCAGCAGCCGCGGUAAUACGUAUGGAGCGAGCGUUGUCCGGAAUUAUUGGGCGUAAAGGGUGCGUAGGUUGCAAGGGAAGUCAGGGGUGAAAAGCUGUAGCUCAACUAUGGUCUUGCCUUUGAAACUCUCUAGCUAGAGUGUACUGGAGGUACGUGGAACGUGUGGUGUAGCGGUGAAAUGCAUAGAUAUCACACAGAACUCCGAUUGCGUAGGCAGCGUACUACAUUACAACUGACACUGAAGCACGAAAGCGUGGGUAUCAAACAGG
rnacentral:rRNA from 1 species